rnacentral:rRNA from 1 species
GACGAACGCUGGCGGCGUGCCUAAUACAUGCAAGUCGAGCGCAGGAAACUGACGGAACUCUUCGGAGGGAAGGCAGUGGAAUGAGCGGCGGACGGGUGAGUAACACGUAAGGAACCUGCCUCAAGGAUUGGGAUAACUCCGAGAGAUCGGAGCUAAUACCGGAUAGUUCAACGGACCGCAUGGUCCGCUGAUGAAAGGCGCUUCGGCGUCACCUUGAGAUGGCCUUGCGGUGCAUUAGCUAGUUGGUGGGGUAACGGCCCACCAAGGCGACGAUGCAUAGCCGACCUGGGAGGGUGAUCGGCCACACUGGGACUGAGACACGGCCCAGACUCCUACGGGAGGCAGCAGUAGGGAAUCUCCCACAAUGGACGAAAGUCUGAUGGAGCAACGCCGCGUGAGUGAUGAAGGUUUUCGGAUCGUAAAACUCUGUUGUAAGGGAAGAACACGUACGAGAGGAAAUGCUCGUACCUUGACGGUACCUUACGAGAAAGCCACGGCUAACUACGUGCCAGCCGCCGCGGUAA